rnacentral:rRNA from 2 species
ACCCCUUGAAGACGACGAGGUAGAUAGGUUGGAGGUGGAAGUGCAGCAAUGCAUGGAGCUGACCAAUACUAAUCGGUCGAGGGCUUAUCCA